GUGCUUUUGCCCUUGGGAAGGGCAGCAGAGUCCUCAGGAGGACAUCACGGCCAAAGUGAUGUGCCAGGUGCCUGAGACACUGCAGGGGCUGUGCUUCUGAGGCCACCAGGAACUCCUGCCCACUCCCUGCUGCAGCAGGAGGAUGUCACGGCCAAAGUGAUGGGCCAGUUCCGUAUCAUCCGGCACUUGCACCAGUCCCUGAGGUGCUGCAGGGGCUGUGCUUCUGAGGACUCCAGCAACUCCUGCUCCCUGCUGCAUGUACUGCUCUGGCUCACUGUAAAUGGGGAGCUAGUGGAAGGGGAAAUGGAGCCCCCUGGUACUCACAGAAACUCUCCCCCCCAUGUGGAGCAGGGUCCUUCCCUCUGCCCCCAAAAUUCCUUCAUCUGGGGCAAGAGCUCUUCCCCUCACUCCCAUUCCCCUCCCUCUUUCCUUGGCCUGACCCCCAUCCCAUUCCCCCUGCUCCCAGGCAGAGCUCUCCCUGCCCCAGAUGGUGCAGAAGGGCUUUUGUGUCAGGGAACAGUCCCAUGCCCCACUAAAGCUCGGAAAGAUUCAUUUUUGAGGAGGUGAUGGUGGGAUAGAGGCUCAGGCCCAGCUUCACCUCCUGCCCUUUAUUCUCCCUUUGGCCCUUCUAUGGGGUCUCUUGGUGUGAAAUGGAAAGAAGCCGCCUCCCCGGCUGUGUUCUAUGCCCUGGGAUCUGGCACAGCCUCCCAGAUGGGCGGAUCCUGCACCUGAGCCACCUCGGAGCAGUGAGGACAGGUAACCUCGUCCCAUCAAACCAAGCAGUGCUGGGUCUCAAAGAGGCUGAGAUGGAAGAGCCCCCUCCCUCGUGGCGGUAAGAGCCAUUUACUCCUCAGGGCAUGCGGGGCUCCUGGGGGAGAAAUAGAAUUUCCAGUGCAUAGCCUGGCUGGGAGCUUUGCCUGUCCCUGGAUCCCAGUCCUGGGACAGAGAUGUCUUCAUCAACGUGCCACCCUUGUUUUGUUCCUAGCAAGAGUCUCCCCAGAGACGUCCUUAAACCUGGACUCCUAAAAGCGUUUCUGGCAGGAGGUUCCAGCCCCUCAGGCAUGAAGAGAGCAUUAUGCAAUCUUGUUCACAUGGCAUCUCCGCUCCCCAGGUCCACUUCCCACAGCAGAACAAAUGAACCCUUCAAGUCCCAGAGACCCAACUCUUUGACCUCCUUCCAAUCAGCAAUGGGGGUUCUCCAGCCCCCUCACCACAGCUGUCAGCUUCUGAAUGAUGAAGGGCCUGAAUGUCAGUCGUCAUAACAAGAAAACUCCAGUUCCAUGCAGUAGGGCUUGUGUGUACUCAGCCCCUCUAGAAACCAGGUCUGAAAUGGGGAGCAAGAACCCCAGCCCAGUAACAGUAGGAGUGGGCAGAGCACGCCUGUACCAGGGUGCUUUCCUCUGGGCUGCAGAGCCUGGAACCUAGCCAAACUGAUUACAGAAUGAGCCCUACCUGAGAAGGACCAUGUACCUCCCCCUAAAGAGCCAGACUUCAGCAGUGAUAAAACCCAGCUGGGCUAUGAGAAUGAGAACUAGAUGGGAAGUUCAGAGCAGCAAGGAAAGCCUAGAGGAACUUGAGAAGAGAGGUAGGAAGUGCCCCGGGAAACUUGCAGCAAAGAGAAAGGAGCAGACCGAGCUGUUGGAUAGAGGGUCCUGGGCUGCUACCAAUGUCAGGGUGGGGCUGGGUUCCCCUACUGGCCCCAAAGAAGGGGGCGUGUACACACAGCCGGAGAGGGUUCCAAGCCCAGAAAGGGGGUUGCAGGCUGAGCAGGAGCCCCAGCGAUGGCAGAAGGACUUCUUUCUGUGGGAAGACCUCUUUGGACUUUUAGUGUGAGACAACCUGGGCUCCAGAAGGGUGGACUAAAGGUGGUGACCGGGCCAGAGGCUGAGUUACCAGGCAGAGAAACUGCCAUGGUGCUGGAGCGCCCAUCGAUGGGGGACGCUUGAUUUCAUGACUGGACAAAAAGAGCAGAUGUGGACAGCAUGCCUGGGCUGUGCUGAGAAGGUUAGCCCAGGAGAGCAGGGCAUGAGAAAGUAUACAAGCGUGGCCUAAUGCCAAAAUAGGGACAAAUAUUCUUUGUUUUGGGUGCAGAGAACAGGCCAUAUCUAAAGACACAGUCUGCUUAGGAAAUUGCAGAGUGGGAAAAGGAGGGGCUAGAACCCAAAGAAGGUAGAAAGAAAAGAGAAGGUGUCCUCUGGCACAAACCCAUGAGACAGGCAAAGUGGAGGUGGCAGGGAUGGCCGUGGACGUUGCAGACCCUCCACCAACACACCCUGUCGGGUGCUGCAGGGAGGUGGAGGACGAAAUGGUUGGCACAGAGAUGAAGCAGACUGAAGUAGGGACAAACACAAGGGUGGAGCAGUCCAUGGUGGGUUCUCAGACCCUGAAGGAAAAGGUUUGGGGGGGAUGCAGUGGCAGUAGCAAAAAGGCUACAGAAGAAGCUAAUGGCUUCAGAACAGGCUCUGCAAGCAGCUGUUAAUGAGACUGAGUGGCUGCAGGAAGAGCAUUGGGAUACUGCAGAAGAGAAGGGUCGCCUCUUUAAUUCUGGUGAGCGAGCUGGCAGGGGAGCUGGAGACGCCGAGUGCCCAGGCUGUACAAGUGCGCAGCUGGUGACAGCGACGAGAUGGCAAGGGAUGAAGCUUGGACAAGAGUAGAACUUGCCCCUGGUUUGGGCUGGAUUUAAGGAGGAGGGGGGUAUAUGACAGGGUGGCUUGACCUAUGGGCUGCAAAGCCUGGAGCUGGGCCAAAUUGAUUACAAAGUGAGCCCCACCUGAGGGGAAACCAGGGAAAACCACAGGAAAAGUAAAGGAGCAGGCCUAGCAGUUCAGUACAGGGCCUUGGGCCAGAAUCUAGAGUCCAGGGCAGGAGUGGGUUCUCCCACCAUCCCCAAGGAAGAGGAUGUACAAGGUCAUGGAAAGGGCUAGCAAGCCCAGCAAGGGCAGGCCGAGCCAAUGGCAGGCUGAGGAAGUGCCCCCAAGAAGGCGGAAGGUCUUGUUUCUGUUAAGACAUUUUCGGACUUUUUGUUUGGGAUGAGCGUGACCCAGGAAGGAGUGGACUGAAGGAUGGUCACCUGGCUGAAGGGCUAAGUUCCCAGCCAACAAACUGCCAGCGCGACUAUUGGCGGCGGUGCUAGCCCAGCAAGAAAGCUGUAACA